rnacentral:lncRNA from 1 species
CGCAUCUGUUGAGAAGCUGCAGUAGUUCAAGGGCAAAAUUGGGAAGCUCUUGGCAGAAAAUAUGAAAGCCACAGGCUGAUGAUGUGUGCUGGAUUGUGCAAUGGAGUCCUGCCAACAUGUCUUCCAACCAUGAGAAGUCUUUCCAAGGAAAAUGACCCUGGCAACCAUAGAGAGCAAUCCUUGUUUGCACACCUGGUUGGGACAGCUUGAGGGAUGUUGGGGAGCAUGGACUUAUGGAAAGAAUGAAAUAAGAGGUGAG